rnacentral:rRNA from 1 species
ACGGGUGAGUAACGCGUGGGUAACCUGCCUUAUACAGGGGGAUAACAGCUGGAAACGGCUGCUAAUACCGCAUAAGCGCACAGCUUUGCAUGAAGCAGUGUGAAAAGAUUUAUCGGUAUAAGAUGGACCCGCGUCUGAUUAGCUGGUUGGUGGGGUAACGGCCUACCAAGGCGACGAUCAGUAGCCGGCUUGAGAGAGUGAACGGCCACAUUGGGACUGAGACACGGCCCAAACUCCUACGGGAGGCAGCAGUGGGGAAUAUUGCACAAUGGGGGAAACCCUGAUGCAGCGACGCCGCGUGAGUGAAGAAGUAUUUCGGUAUGUAAAGCUCUAUCAGCAGGGACGAUAAUGACGGUACCUGACUAAGAAGCCCCGGCUAACUACGUGCCAGCAGCCGCGGUAAUACGUAGGGGGCAAGCGUUAUCCGGAUUUACUGGGUGUAAAGGGAGCGUAGACGGUGAUGUAAGUCAGAUGUGAAAGCCCAGGGCUCAACCCUGGGACUGCAUUUGAAACUAUGUCGCUAGAGUGCAGGAGAGGUAAGUGGAAUUCCUAGUGUAGCGGUGAAA